UGGCUCAGUUGGUAGAGCAUGGUGGUAAUAUUUAGACUUCGGGUUGCCACCCGAGCAUGGUGUUUGCAACGCCAGGGUUGUGGGUUCGAUUCCCAC
rnacentral:tRNA from 1 species